AAGCAUUGUCAAAUUCUUGAAAAAUAGAAUAAAUGAAGCACCCAGUAUUAGUAUUAAAAACAGAUCUCAGAAGGACAGAUCGAAAAUAAACUGACAACACCAUGGUUAAAAAAAGAAGAAAAAAAAUAAUAGUACACAUGACACAACAUACAAAACUAAACACUAAACUACUAAAGAUAUGAAAGAACAUGAUAUAAGCUGGGGAGAAAUAGAAAAUAAAGCACAGAACAGAUGUGAAUGAAAAGAUCUAGUUAUUCUCCUAUGUGCCUUCGGGCCCAAUAAAGACAAGGUAGGUAGGUAGGUAGAUUGUCGCUAUGCGUCUGGCGUAUAUACAAAGUUAAAUCCUGGUAUCUAUGAUGAGUUUAUUUAUGUUAUUGGUCUUAUUUUUUUUACCAACGUAUGACAGACUUUUACAAAAUGGUAGUAGUGUAUCAUAUAUCAAGGUGAAAGUUCCCUUACUCUAUCAUAGAAAAAAUCCAUAGGGCCACCUUGUUUUCCUUCUGUAACCUUUUAAUCAAUACAAGAGCUGGACAAAUACAAAAAUGAUUAAGGGAUUAGAACGAAAUUUGGUUACGGAAUUUGAUUAAAAUUAUAAAAUGUGUAAUCCCGGAAACAUCAAUACAGUACACAUACUGUCACGUGUUUGACUAAUUAAAGUCAAUACAGCCACUAUCCAAAUUAAUUGUUCCAUGUUUUUCAUGUCAGAGUUUA
rnacentral:lncRNA from 1 species